rnacentral:rRNA from 1 species
UGGGGGCCCUACGGGAGGCAGCAGUGGGGAAUAUUGCACAAUGGGCGAAAGCCUGAUGCAGCGACGCCGCGUGAGGGAUGACGGCCUUCGGGUUGUAAACCUCUUUCAGUAGGGAAGAAGCGCAAGUGACGGUACCUGCAGAAGAAGCGCCGGCUAACUACGUGCCAGCAGCCGCGGUAAUACGUAGGGCGCAAGCGUUGUCCGGAAUUAUUGGGCGUAAAGAGCUCGUAGGCGGUUUGUCGCGUCCGCUGUGAAAGCCCGGGGCUCAACCCCGGGUCGGCAGUGGGUACGGGCAGACUAGAGUGCAGUAGGGGAGACUGGAAUUCCUGGUGUAGCGGUGAAAUGCGCAGAUAUCAGGAGGAACACCGAUGGCGAAGGCAGGUCUCUGGGCUGUUACUGACGCUGAGGAGCGAAAGCAUGGGGAGCGAACAGGAUUAGAUACCCUGGUAGUCCAUGCCGUAAACGUUGGGCACUAGGUGUGGGGGACAUUCCACGUCCUCCGCGCCGUAGCUAACGCAUUAAGUGCCCCUGCGCUGC